rnacentral:tRNA from 1 species
GGCGGGGUAGCUCAGUAGGUAGAGCGUCCGGCUGUUAACCGGAAGGUCAUGGGUUCGAAUCCCAUCCCCGCCGCCA